UACGUAGGGGGCAAGCGUUGUCCGGAAUCAUUGGGCGUAAAGAGCGUGUAGGCGGCUCGAUAAGUCCGCUCUGAAAGCCCGGGGCUCAACCCCGGGAGGCGGGCGGAUACUGUCGAGCUAGAGUCCGGAAGAGGCGAGUGGAAUUCCUGGUGUAGCGGUGAAAUGCGCAGAUAUCAGGAGGAACACCGGUGGCGAAGGCGGGUCUCUGGGCCGACACUGACGCUGAGGAGCGAAAGCGUGGGGAGCGAACAGG
rnacentral:rRNA from 1 species